CCUGAGGCUCUGAGGUCCCAGGUUCAGUCCCCCACACCACCAUCACCCAAAGCUAUGCAGAACUCUGGUGUUUCACUUUGUGUCUGUCUCUGAAUCUCUCUCUCUCUCAUUAAAAUAAAUAAAAAUAUUAAAAACAUAUAUACUGAGCCAACCUAGCCAGACUCCCUGCCUCAGUUUCAUGUUGGCUGGACCACUACUAACUCAGCUCUCUAGUCUCAGCAAAACAGACUGGAAUACCUACUCAAAUGUUUUUCAACAAACCUCCCAGUGGUUCAGAACACAAUCUGAGUCCUAAUGCUGCGUUGUAAUAACGUUUCACCAGCCUGGGACAAAAGAGUAAGAGUAAAAAAAGACAAUGUGGCGCAAAGCACAAGGACCGGCAUAAGGAUCCCGGUUCGAACCCCGGCUCCCCACCUGCAGGGGAGUCGCUUCACAGGCGGUGAAGCAGGUCUGCAGGUGUCUAUCUUUCUCUCCUCCUCUCUGUCUUCCCCUCCUCUCUCCAUUUCUCUCUGUCCCAUCCAACGACAACAACAAUAAUAACUACAACAAUAAAACAACAAGGGCAACAAAAGGGAAUAAAUAAAUA